CCUUUUAGGAUAGCGCCUGGUCUGUGUAAACAGAUGACGAGGAGAGGGUUUAUCGAAAGAUUCGGCGGAUGACCCUAGGGACUGCACUCUACAGAAGAUCCACAAAAAGUAUCUGCAAAGAUAAAACAAAAGGAUUUUCCUGCAGCUGG
rnacentral:ncRNA from 5 species